rnacentral:rRNA from 1 species
UACGGGAGGCAGCAGUGGGGAAUAUUGCACAAUGGGCGCAAGCCUGAUGCAGCCAUGCCGCGUGUAUGAAGAAGGCCUUCGGGUUGUAAAGUACUUUCAGUCGUGAGGAAGGUGUUAAGGUUAAUAACCUUAGCAAUUGACGUUAGCGACAGAAGAAGCACCGGCUAACUCCGUGCCAGCAGCCGCGGUAAUACGGAGGGUGCGAGCGUUAAUCGGAAUUACUGGGCGUAAAGGGCACGCAGGCGGUUAAUUAAGUUGGAUGUGAAAUCCCCGGGCUUAACCUGGGAAUGGCAUUCAAGACUGGUUAGCUAGAGUCUUGUAGAGGGGGUAGAAUUCCAUGUGUAGCGGUGAAAUGCGUAGAGAUGUGGAGGAAUACCGGUGGCGAAGGCGGCCCCUGGACAAAGGCUGACGCUCAUGUGCGAAAGCGUGGGGA